rnacentral:lncRNA from 1 species
AUCUCUCAGGAGAUUCCUACCUACUGGAGGUCUUUCAAAGGUGCUUACAACCAGUGUCCAAGAUAGUACGUAAUAGCUUUGGGAUGAGACUGCCUAUUAAUCAUGCUUUUCACAAAGUCUUCGAAUAAUGCUCAUGGCAGUUAUCAGAACCGUCUCCAGUUUUUCAGCACCACUUCAACGGGAUCGUUGAAAAGGGACAGUGCUGACGUGUUGAUACCAAUGUAGCAACUCUGGGAAGGAUUUUUUUAAGGACUACUGUGAGAUGGGAGGAAAUCCACUGAAGUAGUGUGCAGUGAAGACACUGUGGCUCUGUUGACUUUAUGCCUCCAUUUGGGUGGUCUGGGAAACUUGGCAUGGGUACAAAAGGGAGUACAUCAGUAGUGGUUUUGUCAGAUGUACCUUUCUCAACAAAUUUGUCCCUUACGACAGUAAACCAGGAAACUGGGAAUGGGGGCUGUUAGCUGAAAAACUGUUAUCACUGCAACCUCAUUUGUUUUCUUUAGUAUACCCUCCUGAUAUAUUCAGCAUUCAGAGCUGCCUUCCAGUCAGUCAGCCACUGUUAGUCCAGCUCCUGGUUGACAAGUGCUUAAAAAAAGUCAACUAACCAAUAAAAUCCUCAGCCAAGCUCCAAAUGAGCAUCUGGCACUGGUUGUUCAGAUGUGCCUGUGAACAACAGCAAGCUAUGGGAAAGACAAGCUAGUAUUCAGACAUUAUUUUUUGGCAAUGGGAUUUGCUGUAUUAUUUCUCUGCUGUGCUAGCUGAAAGGGUCUGCCUUUUGCUUUUUAACCUCAUUCUUUCAAUGCCAGAAUGGUGGACAUAUAACACAAGUUAAAACAAGAGCUCUUAAAUGAUGUGGUGAUUUCUUUCAUCCUGUUUAGUAAGCAACCUUGGUAGUGCUAUUUCAUAUAAAGCAGUACGAAACGCACAAGAUCAGAAAAUGCAAUAAUUCCAGCAAUGACACAAAGAAUGAUCUGCUUUGUCGUCUCACUGGCUAUCAAUGUGGUGAAUAUGUCAUUCUGCAGUAUCUAGUUCAUUAUUUUCUGUUGUUUCUUUGAGCAUGUUUUUAACUAACAUUAAGCAAAAUGUACAUUG